rnacentral:rRNA from 1 species
UAUUCCGAAGGGCACACCUGUUUGAGUGUCGUGAAAUUCUCAUCCCUCUUCACUUUUUUGGUGAAGCCAGGGCUUGGACUUGGAGGCUUUGCCGGCUCUGCUCGGCUCCUCUCAAAUGCAUUAGUGCGUCUUGUUGCGACGUGCGCCUCGGUGUGAUAAUUAUCUACGCUGUGGUGUGCUUGCUUCUGUGGAGACGCGCUUUCAAACCGUCCGAAAGGACAACUUUCAUCGAACUUUGACCUCAAAUCAGGUGGGACUACCCGCUGAACUUAAGCAUAUCAAUAAGCGGAGGAAAAGAAACUAACAAGGAUUCCCCUAGUAACUGCGAGUGAAGCGGGAAAAGCUCAAAUUUAAAAUCUGGCGGUCUUCUGGCCGUCCGAGUUGUAGUCUGGAGAAGCGUUUUCCGUGC